rnacentral:rRNA from 1 species
UACGUAGGGGGCUAGCGUUGUCCGGAAUCAUUGGGCGUAAAGCGCGCGUAGGUGGCCUCGUAAGUCCGCUGUGAAAGUCAAAGGCUCAACCUUUGAAAGCCGGUGGAUACUGUGAGGCUAGAGUACGGAAGAGGCGAGUGGAAUUCCUGGUGUAGCGGUGGAAUGCGCAGAUAUCAGGAGGAACACCAAUAGCGAAGGCAGCUCGCUGGGACGUUACUGACACUGAGGCGCGAAAGCGUGGGGAGCGAACAGG